rnacentral:rRNA from 1 species
CACAAGCGGUGGAUGAUGUGGAUUAAUUCGAUGCAACGCGAAGAACCUUACCUACCCUUGACAUGUCCGGAACUUGCCAGAGAUGGCUUGGUGCCCGAAAGGGAAUCGGAACACAGGUGCUGCAUGGCUGUCGUCAGCUCGUGUCGUGAGAUGUUGGGUUAAGUCCCGCAACGAGCGCAACCCUUAUCAUUAGUUGCUACGCAAGGGCACUCUAAUGAGACUGCCGGUGACAAACCGGAGGAAGGUGGGGAUGACGUCAAGUUCUCAUGGCCCUUAUGGGUAGGGCUUCACACGUCAUACAAUGGUCGGUACAGAGGGUUGCCAAGCCGCGAGGCGGAGCCAAUCCCACAAAGCCGAUCGUAGUCCGGAUUGUUCUCUGCAACUCGAGAGCAUGAAGUCGGAAUCGCUAGUAAUCGCAGGUCAGCAUACUGCGGUGAAUACGUUCCCGGGUCUU